UCAUAACAAUGUACCCGACCUGCAUCAUCAUAAGGCAAACGCUAACUCAAAUUUUGUUCACUGACAGUUUAUAUCAUAGUGCGAGACUACAAACAAUUUCAUUGAUUCAGCCCUGCAGGUGCAGGGACAUGCAACAACAAACUGAAACAAAAGAUCCUGCAAACUCAAAACUAGUAAUGUGUUUAAAGGCUAAAGUAUUUGCACUGGACCAAGCGGUUUUGGGCCGACGAUAGUGCUGUACAUCAGGUUUGUCUUUGAAGAUCAAAAAACAGGAGGCAAGUUGUUCUGCCACUCAUACAGAAAAGGUGUAGCUUGUUUGAAUUUUGGUCUUUUAUACCAAGAAUUUCAUAUACAAUAACAAAAACAGGUCAAUAAGAAAGACGGGGGUUAAAAAUGACAACCUACAAGCUAACUAAUACAGUGAUUAAAUCAAUUUACAUAAGAAAAAGGUCAUCAUACUGCUUAAAAAAUAAAAAUUGAACUGACCUGGUUUGUUAAAAAAAGGGGGUUAUGCAAAUGGUUCAUGGUAAUGAUAGGUCCAGAUGUUUAGAGACCCAAUAGACAGUCAUUAAAUUCAAUCUACUAUAUGAGACAAAGGUCAUUGUAUUCCUUAAAAAACAAAAAUAGAACUGACUGGUUAGUAAGAAAAGGGCUUAUGCAGAUGGUUCCAGAGAAAUUGCUAGGUCCAGAAGUUUAGAGACCCAAUCAAACAUAAUGACCCAGAAGGAAGAAGAAAACUUCAGAAAAAAGAAAAAUAAUAUUAAUAAUCACUUCCUCCUGUCAGCUUCAUCUUCUCAAAAUCUUGCCACAAGUGUUUACAUUUGUCAACAGAAGUCGUGACUAGUGGAGGGUAUCUUCAUAAUUGCUAGAUAUGUAAAUAUAUCUGAUUCACAAAAUAAACAUGAUAUGUAUUAUGGUUACUUCAGUUUGGAUUAUUCAACUAAAAAAUAAACCUAUAUAUACACACACACACACAAACAUAUUUACUUUCUUUGUUGAAGGUGCUCCAAUCAGGGGUAUGUCUACGACUCUACACUCACAAGGCCACAUGGACCAAAUGGCGAACCUGUGGCUCACAAGUUUGGAAGUAAUGCACAAAAAUAAAAAUAAAACAGAAAUAAACCUUCAGGCACUUUAAAAAGAAAAAGAAAAGAACAAUUAAAGAAUUCUAUAUCUUUUAAGGAAAAUAAACAUUUUUAAAAGAAAACUAAUUUUACAUGUAGACUCCUGCUACUCAAGAGAUACGAUGCUUGCAGGUAAAAGGAACCUACAGCUUGAUCAAAAUUAUGCAUGUACGGAAACC
rnacentral:lncRNA from 1 species